rnacentral:tRNA from 1 species
GCCCACUUAGCUCAAUUGGUAGAGCAAUGGUAUCGUAAACCAUAGGUUGUCGGUUCAAUCCCGACAGUGGGCUC